rnacentral:rRNA from 1 species
CGGAGGGUGCAAGCGUUAUCCGGAUUCACUGGGUUUAAGGGUGUGUAGGCGGAUAGGUAAGUCCGUGGUGAAAUCCUGCAGCUUAACUGCAGAACUGCCAUGGAUACUCUCUAUCUUGAAUGUCGUGGAGGUUAGCAGAAUAUGUCAUGUAGCGGUGAAAUGCUUAGAUAUGACAUAGAAUACCCAUUGCGAAGGCAGCUAACUACGCGAUAAUUGACGCUGAUGCACGAAAGCGUGGGGAUCAAACAGGAUUAGAUACCCUGGUAGUCCACGCCCUAAACGAUGAUUACUCGACAUUGGCGAUACACAGUCAGUGUCUGAGCGAAAGCAUUAAGUAAUCCACCUGGGAAGUACGAUCGCAAGAUUG